UUAAGGGCGUAUGGUGGAUGCCUUGACUUUAAGAGGCGAUGAAGGACGUGGCGUUGCUGCGAUAAGCUUCGGGGAGGUGCUUAGCUACCUUUGAUCCGGAGAUUUCCGAAUGGGGAAACCCUAUCAAGUAAACCUUGAUAACUUUUAUCUUUAUGAUAAAAGAGCAUACCCUGGGAAGUGAAACAUCUCAGUACCAGGAGGAAUAGAGACAAAUAUGUAUUUCCUUAGUAGCGGCGAGCGAAAAGGAAGAAGCCCAAACCGUUCUCGCAAGAGGGCGGGGUUGUAAGAUGACAAUGUAGUUUACUAGGAGAGUUAAAAAAUAAAUUAUUAGUUGAAGUUGCUGGAAAGCGACACCGUAGGGGGUGAUAGUCCCGUAAACGAAAAUAAUUUAUCUCUUUUAUUGUUAUUCUUGAGUACCCCAGGACAUGAAUGGCCGGGGGGAAUCUAGCGGAACUAACCGCUAAGGCUAAAUACUCUUAAAGAUCGAUAGUGAACAAGUACCGUGAGGGAAAGGUGAAAAGCAGCCCGAUUAGGGCGGUGAAAUAGACCUGAAACCAUAUGUCUACAAGGAGUCGGAGCAGGUAUUUAUAUCUGCAACGGCGUGCCUAUUGAAGAAUGAGCCAACGAGUUUAUUCAUACUGCAAGGCUAAGCUGGCUAAAACAGCAGAGCCGAAGGGAAACCGAGUGUUAAUAGCGCGAAUGAGUAGUAUGCAUAAGACCCGAAGCCAGGUGAGCUUGCCAUGAGCAGGUUGAAGUUUGUCGAAAGACAAAUGGAGGACCGAACCGGUAGAUCGUACAACGUCUUCGGAUGACUUGUGGUAAGGAGUGAAAAGCUAAUCGAACCUGGUAAUAGCUGGUUCUCUCCGAAAUAGCUUUAGGGCUAGCGUCACUGGAAGGUUUCGACAGGGAGCAAUCUCGCGAAACCUAUCAAACUCCGAAUACCAGAAACCAUAGCUUGGCAGUUAGGCCAUGGGGGCGAAGCUCCAUUGGCCAAAAGGGAAACAGCCCAGAUCUCAAAAUAAGGUCCCUAAAUUUAUGCUAAGUGUAAGAUAAGAAGGUGGAAUUUCUCUGACAAUGAGGAGGUUGGCUUAGAAGCAGCCAUCCUUUAAAGAUAGCGUAACAGCUCACUCAUCUAGAGAUUUUGCGUCGACAUAGUACCGAAUUUGAGGAUUUCGUUUUUCUUCGGAAGAACGGAGUGGUAGGAGAGUGUUCCAAUCUGCUGUGAAGUAGGACUCGUGAGAGCCUAUGGAGCGUUUGGAAGUAAGAAUGUUGGCACAAGUAACCGCAAUGAGGGUGAGAUCCCCUCACGUCGAAAGAUCAAGGUUUCCUUGGUAAUGUCAAUCAGCCAAGGGUUAGUCGGGCCUAAGGGAAUGGAGAAAUCCGUACUCGAUGGACAUAGGGUUAAUAUUCCCUGACUUCUGUAUUUUGUGAUGGGACGACGGAGUGUAGUAUGUAUUGCUCAUUAUUGGAUUUGAAGUUUGUUUACUAAAGAUGAGGUGUAGGAAAAUCCGCACACUGCUUUCAAUGGCAAAUCUAAGGUAAAUGAAAAGUCUUAAGCCUCGGUUUAGGACAAUAAUACAAAGCACGCUUCCAAGAAAAAUCUCUAAACUUAAAAAUAUAGAAUCCGUACCGCAAACCGACACAGGUGAUCAGGUCGAGUAGACCAAGACGAACGAGUGAGUGGUCCCCAAGGAACUCGGCAAAAAAGCAGCCGUAACUUCGGGAUAAGGCUUGCCCCCACCACUUUGGAUAUUUCUAAAUAUUUGAGUGGUGGGGGCCGCAGCGAAAGUUUCUCUGGCAACUGUUUACCAAAAACACAGCUCCCUGCGAACUCGUAAGAGGAUGUAUAGGGGGUGACACCUGACCAAUGCCAGAAGGUCAAAUAUCGGCGGUGUAUGUCGCAAGAUGUAUGCAGACUGAUAUAAGCCCUGGUGAAUGUCGGCCGUAACUAUAACGGUCCUAAGGUAGCGAAAUACCUUGUCGGGUAAGUUCCGACGCGCACGAAUGGUGUAAUGACUGGAGAACUGUCUCGGGGACCAGCUCGGUGAAAAUACAAUGCCGGUGAAGAUGCCGGCUAAGUGCAGUUAGACGAAAAGACCCUAGAAGCUUUACUAUAACUUGAUAUUGAGCAUGUUUUUAAACUGCGUAGAAUAGAUGGGAGAGGUUUGAAGUGUACGGUUUCGGCUGUAUUCUACUCGUCAGUGAAAUACCAUUCUUUUUGAAGGCAUGUUCUAACCAAUACGGCAAAAACGUAUUGAGACAGUAUCUGGUGGAUAGUUUUACUGGGGCUGUACCCUCCUAAAAAGUAAAGGAGGGGUUUAAAGGUUAGCUAGGCGCGAAUGGAAACCGUGCCGAUAGUGUAAUGGCACAAGCUAGCUUGACUGUAAGAGGUACAUCUCAAGCAGGUGGGAAACCAGAACAUAGUGAUCCGACCAUACGCAUUAGACGCGGUGGAAGCUCAACGGAUAAAAGCUACUCUAGGGAUAACAGGCUAGUUCCGCCUAAGAGUUCAUAUCGACGGCGGAGUUCGGCACCUCGAUGUCGGCUCACCUUAGCGCGGCGGUGGAGAAGCUGCCAAGCGUUUCAGACCGUUCUUCAGUGUGAGACAGGUUGGUCUCCUAUCUACUGCACUCGUUGAUUCUUGAGAAGAUUUGCUCCUAGUAGGCCCGGACGAGAGGACCGGAGUGAACUGACCUCUGGUGUACGAGCUCUAUUGCCAAAUGGACUGCUCGGUAGCUAUGUCGGGAUUGGAUAACCUCUGAAAGCAUCUAAGAGGGAAGCCAGCUUCAAGAUUAGGAAUCGUUAAGAACCGUGAGAGAUGAUCACGUUGAUAGGCUUUAAGUGUAAGCGAG
rnacentral:rRNA from 1 species